AGCUCUCUUUCCACUACUACAUGUAUGGUACUGCCACCACAAUGACAAUCAAUGUCUACGCUAUCCCUGCGGGUAAGAACCUCAAAGGCAAUAUGUGUCAAGUUCCUCUUAGUUUUCAUGCUAAUCUGGUGUAUGUUAGAAUCUGUUUGCAUGUUAUGGAAAUCUGUCUGUCUGCUAAGGCGGCACACUGGGAGCCCCCCUGAUGAGUCUAAUAGGGAAUCAAGGGCGGGGCUGGAAGAAGGCAGAGGCGCACUAUGCUGGCAAAGGAGACAUACAGUUUGUGAUCCAAGGUGUUUAUGGAGAGACCGACAAGACAGACCUGGCUGUGGACAGUGUCUGUGUUACAGCAUGUCAAGGAACAUCAACUACCAGUAAACCAUCAACCACAUCAACAGCAACCACAACAAAACCACCAACUACCAC